UGCAGCUCGAGUGGUGGCCGCUAUUAUUGGGCCUAAAACGUCCGUAGCCGGCUUAUUAAAUGCCCGGGUAAAUUGUACGGCUCAACCGUACGAAUUCCGGGUAGACUGAUAGGCUUGGGACCGGGAGAAGCUAGAGGUACUCCUGGGGUAGAGGUGAAAUUCUGUAAUCCUAGGGGGACCACCAGUGGCGAAGGCGUCUAGCUAGAACGGGUUUGACGGUGAGGGACGAAGCCCUGGGGAGCAAACG
rnacentral:rRNA from 1 species